UCAUCAUGCCCCUUAUGACCUGGGCUACACACGUGCUACAAUGGCUGGUACAACAGAAGUAGCGAGCCGGUGACGGCAAGCUAAUCUCUUAAAGCCAUUCUCAGUUCGGAUUGUAGGCUGCAACUCGCUACAUGAAGUCGGAAUCGCUAGUAAUCGCAGAGAUCAGCACGCCGCGGUGAAUACGUUCCCGGGCCUUGUACACACCGCCCGUCACACCAUGAGAGUUUGUAACACCCGAAGUCGGUGGGGUAACCUUUAGGAGCAGCCGCUAAGGUGGGAUAGAUGAUUGGGGUGAAGUCGUAACAAGGUAGCCCGUAUCAGAA
rnacentral:rRNA from 1 species